rfam:Schistosoma curassoni strain Dakar, Senegal genome assembly, scaffold: SCTD_scaffold0004621
AUCCAGCUGAUGGGUCCAAAAUAGGACGAAACGCGCAUCUCGGAU